AAGGGCUUGACAUCCUCUGACAACCAAGAGAUUGGGCGUUCUGCCUUCGGUAGACAGAGAGACAGGUGGUGCAUGGUUGUCGUCAGCUCGUGUCGUGAGAUGUUGGGUUAAGUCCCGCAACGAGCGCAACCCCUAUUGUUAGUUGCCAUCAUUCAGUUGGGCACUCUAGCGAGACUGCCGGUAAUAAACCGGAGGAAGUGGGAUGACGUCAAAUCAUCAUGCCCCUUAUGACCUGGGCUACACACGUGCUACAAUGGUUGGUACAACGAGUUGCGAGUCGGUGACGGCGAGCUAAUCUCUUAAAGCCAAUCUCAGUUCGGAUUGUAGGCUGCAACUCGCCUACAUGAAGUCGGAAUCGCUAGUAAUCGCGGAUCAGCACGCCGCGGUGAAUACGUUCCCGGGCCUU
rnacentral:rRNA from 1 species